AACCAUUCUUUCCUACAGAACAAAGUGUUUAAUUUUUUUUGUUGUUGUUGCUCUUAAGGAUCUGUCAGAGGGAAAAACUAAAAAUUUUGUUGAUUGACUGAGACAAGGUGAGCAAUUGAAAAUCAGAGGCUUCCUUAAUUCUCAGAAUGCAUGUAUAUCACCUGUUGCUUCUUCCUCUAUCCCCAUAGCAGUUACUAGCACAAGGUCUCUGCCCUCAUCAUUUUGCUGCUCUGGUUGUUAUACUUGAAAAAGUAUGAAAUGGCAGGGCUCUUUGGUCAUGAUCGAGAAUGGCAGACGGAGCCCAUAAGUGUUUAGGAUUGCUUCAAGGACCUUGUGACUGCUUACACUCUGCUAGGAAUUUUCGGACGAAGGGAGACCUCCUCUGAUUGACAAGGAACAAGGGGAGGGCCUACCAUUGAUCAAAUGAGGAUCUAAGAACACAACUACAACAGAAAUGUCAUCGUGAAAAUGCCUUCUCACACCUCUAUCUAUCUUUUUCAGUUUCCACCAAGUUGAACCAUAAAUUCAAGACAACUUUGGCAACGAAUAUGAAAUGAGAUAGUCAUCAAUUCAAUCAACGUGGUGGUUUAUGAGAAGAUGUGU